GUCCACGCCGUAAACGAUGAAUACUCGUUGUUGGAGGUAUUGACCCCUUCAGUGACUAAGCUAACGCGUUAAGUAUUCCGCCUGGGAAGUACGGUCGCAAGAUUAAAACUCAAAGAAAUUGACGGGGGCCCGCACAAGCGGUGGAGCAUGUGGUUUAAUUCGAUGCAACGCGAAGAACCUUACCUGGGUUUGAAAUAGUUAAGAAAAGUACGAGAAAUCGUCUUCCCGCAAGGGCUUAAUUACAGGUGCUGCAUGGCUGUCGU
rnacentral:rRNA from 1 species